GGAGGACUUUUUUGGACUUUUUAAUGUGGGUUCCUUCCCAAAAAUAUCCCAUCUAAGCUGCCUGCUAUCAGCCCCUUCUGUCUCUCCACACCUUUGUCCAAAGUCUCUGUCCAGCUCUCUUGGAGCCCCUGCAGGCUCCAGAGGAUGCUCUGAGGUCUCUUGGAGCCCUCUCCUCUCCAGUUUUGAGCUUCUGACCUCACCACGAUGCCAUCAUCACACUUCAGGCAGUCUGAGUGGGAUUUUGCAGUGCUUGAGAGAAGCAUAAACAAACCAGAGUUCCAGCUCUGGUCUGAACAUUGUGUCUGAUUGCAAUGAAAUGUGUUACUUGAGCCAUUGGCUUUAAGUGACAUAAACCAAAGGCACGAAAACAUUUCUGAAGUGCUGAUAAUGCUCAGUUACCUCUCACCUUAUUUCAGAUCACUGAUGUUUGUAAUAUUUCUGCUCUUCCUUAUGUUCCUCAGUAUUGCCAUUGAAAAUUCAGCCAUAAUUAGCUACCAUGAAAACUAAGAGCAGUAAAUAAGGACUGUUUAUUAUUAAAGCAUGAAAGAGUUUCAAAUUGCAAUGCUUAUUGAAAUCAACAUAAAUCUUUUCCCCCCUCCCAAUUAAUCUAAUCUUAGAAGAUCUUUCCAUUAAAAAAGAAAGUUGCAAUAUGAGUAUUAUUAUACUCAUAUAUGAGUGAGUGCUAUCUCACACUAUACAGUUGAUCUUUAAACCAGACCAAAUGUGAAAUUUUCAACAUAUUUUAAAGUUGUUGCUCUUUAUUUUUACCAAUUAAUGACUCUUUUGAACUUCACCUCAUGAUACUUAUUAGCCUUCUUAAAUAUACUGGAGGUGAUACAUUCUUCAUUUAUGUCACUCAUUAAUCACUGCUCAAUAACUGCUGUCAGGAAGCUGCUGCCUUUGAUGUCUCAUUGUUCAGUGCCUUCUUUCUUGUUGGUAGUUAAUCAAACGCUUCCCUGCUGUGGUCAAAGCACAGCUUGAGAGCAGUUCCAGAGGUGAUCCAGCAUUAAAACAUGGAGCUGAUUGGAAAGGUCCAGUUUUUUUUUAUAUAUCAUGCCCAAGUGAAAGCUUUCAUUUUGCAGUCCAUGGCAAAUGAGGCAUUGUUGUCCUGCUCUUGUGACUGGGAAAACAGAGCUGAGUUCUGCCAUCUAACUGAAGCACGCUGUAAUGACUGACUAAUUAGCUGCAGUUAUGAAAUGAACUGCAAAGUUUCCACUGUCAAUCACGGUGAAAUAAUGUUUCUUCUUAUUUUUUCUUUUUUUUUCUUUUUUUUUUUUGUUUUAAGAGUGGAAUUAAAAUAAUUGUCGAAAUGUAUUAAAGCUUCAGGGGGUCGUAAGUCUAAUGAAAGCAUCCAACAGAGAAAAAUAUCUGUCCUGGGAUAAAAUGAACAUUUUCAUUUCUAGUGUUCAAUCCAGAUUUAGACUGAAAAUAUUCAGAAAGAGAUUCUGCAAAAGCAAGUGUGGGCAAACUGAAAACAAGGGAAAUAGCAACUUAGAGGAGAGUGAAAGACAGGAAUGAAAUGGGACCAGGAACAAUCAUUGAAAAGGAAAUUAAAAAGAAAUUAAAAACAGAUUAUUUGGAAAUAAUGUGUGCUUUUAUAGUAGUUUGGCACAGUCUAAAAAUAAAUCCUCAGUGUUUGGAGUCUUUGCAAAGAUGAUAAAAUAUUUCUGUUUCUCUUUUCAGAGAUCUAACACUAAUAACAGGACAUGCCAAACAGUUGCUGCUGUUCAGCUGAAAAGAUCUCUCAGAUUAAUAUACACUGCCAUCAUCUUCCACUUGUGAGUGAAUCCGUAAGUUUAUGUAAGACUAAAGUAAAGAAAAAUAAAAGUACAGAAAAUAAACAUGUUGUGCUUUUUAGAAAGAAGGUAUUACACUGCCUAAUCAUUUAAUAAAUAAAAUGGUAUUUAGCAAGUGGUACCUAAGAAGAAGUUGAGGCAUUUUUAGCCAGUUAAGAUCUUCUGCUAUUCCCUGAGCUCCUCUCCUGUGUAAAAUCUUGUCACAAUCACCAAUUGCUGGAACACUCAAAUUAGUAAGACAAGAACUUGAGUAGGAAAGGGGGUUGAAAGUAAGUGAUCAUUAAGGUCCCUUCCAAAGCAUUCUAAGAUUCUGUGAUGCGUGAUUUUAAAUAAAACAUUGUAAAAGUCUCUUUGUAGUAGGGACCUCACAACCCAGACAUGGCACAGAUAAUGACAAACCCCAUCUGUACAGCUUUGAGAUCUCUGUGUUGUUUCAUUUUGCUAGAGCUUUCAUGAGAACAUAGACCUAUAAUUAAAAUAAGAACUUGGUGGACUGUUUAGAGUCUAACUUUCACUUUGUUACCUGCUAUUUCUCAUUUUUCUCUCGUUUGAAACUGAACAGAAAAGAUUAUGCUUUAGCCCGCAGGCACUUUCUUUAGAUUUCUUUUUUUUCAAAUGACUGAGGGAACAAAAUAUUUCCCUUUCUCUAGACACUGGCAUUCCACCUGACUCAAAUCCCCGUGACCUCAAGCACAAUUUUCCCCUGUUCAGGACUGGAUACAAAAGCACUGAGUUAAUCCAUGGUCUGUUCACUGCGGGCACAAUGCGCCUCUUGGUGCGCCUUGUGAUCUUCAGAAGGGCAGAGUAAGAACCUCGAGAGAAUCUGAGGGCUGUAAGUGCCUGAUGCACCAAUGGCAGGCACUGACCUGCUCAAAAUGCUGGGGAUAAUUUCCCCAGGCUCCCAAGCAGUGACACAUCUCCCCUGGAACCUGCAGCGCUGCAAACAUUCCCUGCCCAGCAGGGCCUGGGCUUCACUGACCUGCUCAGGGCUUGUGGACAUGAUUCUCUGAACCUGAGACAAUAUUCAAGCUCUCAGUCGCUGACCAUUCCCAAUGGAGAGCCUUGGGAACCAUUCUUGCUCCAAGAUUAUUUGUGUAAAUAAAAGAUCUCUUCCCAAAAACAAGACACAGAAGUUCUGAGAGUGUUUUCUCUCUUAUCCCACCAGAGGGAUGAGAGAGGUGUUGUCCCUUCUACCCAUCAGGGUGACCUGUUCAGAGAAGCUUUUAAAAAGGUUAACAAAACUCCACAAUAAAGGCUUUUGACCUCAUGAAAGUGGCUGCAGUGUAGAUAAUUUCUGGGGACCCUCGCUCAGUACUUUGUGUCCUCACAGGGGAUCACACUCAGGUUCUGUGAUAUCACUGCUUGGGUUUGUGAUAUCAGUGCUUGGGUUUGUGAUAUCCAUCUCAGGUUCUGUGAUAUCCACCUCAGGUUCUGUGAUAUCCAUCUCAAGUUCUGUGAUAUCACUGCUUGGGUUUGUGAUAUCCAGCUCAGGUUCUGCGAUAUCACUGCUCAGGUUUGUGAUAUCACCGCUCAGGUUCUGUGAUAUCACUGCUCUGGUUUGUGAUAUCCAUCUCAGGUUCUGUGAUAUCCAGCUCAGGUUCUGUGAUAUCGCUGCUUGGUUUGUGAUAUCCACCUCAGGUUCUGUGAUAUCCAUCUCAAGUUCUGUGAUAUUCAUCUCAGGUUUGUGAUAUCACUGCUUGGGUUUGUGAUAUCACUGCUCAGGUUCUGCGAUAUCACUGCUCAAGUUCUGUGAUAUCAGUCUUGGGUUCUGUGCUAUCACUGCUCAAAUUCUGUGAUAUCACUGCUCAGGUUCUGUGAUAUCCACCUCAGGUUCUGUGAUAUCACUGCUCUGGUUUGUGAUUUCACUGCUCAGGUUCUGUGAUAUCACUGCUCAGGUUUGUGAUAUCACUGCUCUGGUUUGUGAUAUCCACCUCAGGUUCUGUGAUAUUCAUCUCAGGUUCUGUGAUAUCACUGCUCUGGUUUGUGAUAUCACUGCUCAGGUUCUGUGAUAUCACUGCUCUGGUUUGUGAUAUCACUGCUCUGGUUUGUGAUAUCACUGCUCUGGUUUGUGAUAUCACUGCUCUGGUUCUGUGAUAUCACUGCUGGCAGCUUAGCAAAGUCCAGAAGAAAUCAGGGACAUCACGAUCCUGACUCCAUGUGAUGAACAUCUGAGGAAUGUUUCAGUGGCCAUUUGGAAAGAGGAGGGAGCCAAAACCAAGGAUUUUAGAAUAUCACAACAAAUGACUCAGAUUCUGUGCAGCUGUUUAAUGCAUCAAGCCUCAGUCCAAUGAAACUGCAGCAGGAUGAAUUUGGACUCUUAUACUUUGGGGACUAUGAUGGGUUUUGCUCCAGAUGCAAAAUGACAGACUGCUGAUGGCUCUUUACAUAUAUUUUGCAGACUGAGUUAAUCAUAAAUAAUUAUGUCAAAUAAAGCAAAUU